rnacentral:misc_RNA from 1 species
CCUGAUCCUAAUGGUAUAAAAUAUAUAUUCUUCAGGUGCCUAAAAUGUUGACAAAUUAUCGUUGCUGUGAUUAGACAAAUAUGAAUUUAUUGUUUAUGUCGUCCCCCUUAUUAACUUGAUCAAAAACAAACUUGGUUUGGUUAUGUUUAAUGCAUGAUAAAUUGCAAGCCCUCCUUUUUUUUCUCUUUUUUUUACAGAGCAAGCCAUUGUUUAUCAAGGUGGAUA